UACGUAGGGUCCGAGCGUUAAUCGGAAUUACUGGGCGUAAAGCGUGCGCAGGCGGUUUUGUAAGCCAGAUGUGAAAUCCCCGGGCUUAACCUGGGAAUGGCAUUUGGGACUGCAAGGCUUGAGUGCGGCAGAGGAGACUGGAAUUCCUGGUGUAGCAGUGAAAUGCGUAGAUAUCAGGAGGAAUACCGAUGGCGAAGGCAGGUCUCUGGGCUGACACUGACGCUCAUGCACGAAAGCGUGGGGAGCAAACGGGG
rnacentral:rRNA from 1 species